UGAUGUCAGACUAACAGUAUGUAUGUAGCUGUCUAAAAAAUGACAUUGUUCAUCCCUGAUAUGGCUGCUCGUCUGUUUUUGCUCAUCCUCCUUUUCGAUACCUUCCAGUACCUCAAAGGCAAAGAUCUUCCUCAACCCAGUCUAACAGUGAUUCCUGCAGUCAUCAAAGAGAAAGACUCAGUUCAGCUGAACUGUCAGACUCCUCCAUCUGUCUCUGAGUGUUACUUCAAAAUGGCUGGGCAAGUGGAAUUCACCCUUCCAUCACCCUGUCAACAGACACUCACAG